rnacentral:misc_RNA from 1 species
CGAAAUGAAGGGCCUGGCCAAGCGCCUGGCGGCCGAGUUCAAUUUCUCGGCCGCUGAGAUUAUGGCCAUGCCCUUUUCCGAA